GUGGUGGCUCAGCAGGAGAGCGCUUGCCUAGCACGUGUGAGGGCCUGGGUUCAAUACUCAGCACCACA
rnacentral:tRNA from 1 species